UCCGUUACAGAAGUAAAUUAGAGCUCUUCCUCGAACUGUUCUCCUCCAUUAACAACGACGUUAUUUACGCCAUUCAAUCCCUUUGAUUCAUAACCGGGUAAUCAAUUUGAUGCGUUACGUUAGAAGAGCUACAUAAACCUCGACAGAGGUUAUCAUCUUCCCAUGUUUCUCCAUUUCUUUCAUUCGCAUACUCUCUCACGACUAUUAGGAUAUAAUGGCCAAAAGCAGGUGGCAUGCACCAUUAAGACAGUAAAGCUCUGAUUUGCUGCUUUGGAACUACUUCAUUAUAAUUGCAUAUGACCCGUAUGGUUCCGUCUUAUUGUUUACUGAAAGGGAGUAAAUGCAGUGCUUGAAGGAGAUGGUCGAAAUUUACACCUACAUGAAUGAUCGUGUUUGUACGACUAAUGAAGCCUGAACGAAUGGGAACUAGCCUUUCUAUUCUUGGAGGUUGAAAAUAGUUUCCCUACUCUGGGAAUGGAAAACAGGUCGAAAUCCCAUAAAGAAAGGUACUCCCUCCUUGAUUAUCUCAGGGCACGAUAUAUGAGCACGAUAUAUAGUGAUGUAGAUUGAAAGGCGGGACUUUACGCGACAAUAGGCGCAUCAUGAACAUAGAUGUGUGGACGCUCAUCUUGAGGAGGAAUCUACCUUUUUACAGCUUGGAGCAGAUCCUACCGGAUAUGAUUAAAUACUGGGUCUUCUUGGUCACCUUGGGGUUUACUGCACAAGGCCCCUGCAGAGGUAAUUCUCCCUGCGCGUAGAAUACACUCAGCUUCGCAUCCUCCGUAAGUGUUUUUAUUUGUCUAUUUCACGUUUGUAGAUUAUUAGUUGUAAACUUUUGUUUAUCUAGGUUCUUUGAUAGUCAACACUCUACCAUCGUUCUCCUAACAUUGCGACUAGAACUUUCAGGUUCAAGGAAUUACUGUAUUCCUACAACUGCAAAAUGCCACUUUCUCAUUUUACAGCCAUAUGCGUUCAAAUUUAUUCAAAAGAUCCAAAUGUUAAUGCACAUCUCCCAACACUGUAUAAUUUUUAAUUUUUGUUCGCUAAUACUACCAGCAAGGACAGUCAUGGUUAAUGGUUUACUCAUAUCAAAGAUAUUGCAAUGGGAUGAGCUGCACUGAAACAACUUUGGAAGGUUAUGCAUUGUGCAUGUUGUUUUUUCUCUUUAUAGUUCUUUAAUUAAUGUUGUAUAAGAAAUGAUACCACAACCUACAUUGCAUUAAUACUAUAGUUGGUGGAUUGUGAUUUAACGGAAAUCUCCAAUUUGGACUGUAACCAUUUGGUCGCUAAACUGAUUUAUUUUUUUCUUAUAUGCCCCAUAAAUUUUGCUUAUGGUAUGUGUCAGUGCCUAAAUUUGGUCCGAAAUCCUAGAAAAGCAGACUAUAUUUGGGCUUAGUCCAACCACUGCCAUUCCCAUACCAAAUUUGGUUAUAGUCCACAAAUUUGGGUUUAUGUGAGAAGCAGACCAUAUUUGGGUUUAUAUGAGACAAUUUUUAUGGUUUUACCUUCAUCGAUCGCACGCGGAAUUUUAUGAUUCUUUUUGCUGAAAGAUACAGUAUACCUCAUUCUCCAGAAUUUCCAUGGUUUAUUUUUGCAGAUUUCGUACAACAUGCCUUACUCCAUAUGUGAAGGUUACAUGCUCAAUUUCCACCAGGUUCAUUAACUCAUUUUUAUUGGGUUGAUCGACAAAAAACAUGGAAGGUACAGAGAAGAUAACCCUUACGUGGAGAAGGAUGCAAUAGUGUUGCAUAUACUUGGAGCUGCAGUCAACUCCAUCGUUCAAAUUACAUAGGCGCAUGAAACGUGAGGUGUGAGAUCUAAUGGCAUUCAUGGACAAAAACUGAAAAAAAUUCUUAUUAUAAAAUGGUGGAAGUAGUUUCCAGGGCAACUAAUCCGUUGAUUAUCACUGAAAAUCUUCUAGCAAAAUUUAGAGUGGAUAUUUCUGCAAAUAAGGUAGCCCCCAACUUCCUCAAGUUUGUAGCAGUUGGACGCCUUGGUUGGUUUCAAGAAAAUAACUUACACCAACAACUGAUCGAUCUUGGUUCUCAAAUGUGAAAUAUUAUAAGCUUUGGAUCUAACUUUUUUGCAAAUGAAUCUUGAUCAAUCAAAAAUUAGGCUGGGAUGGCUGGUGAGAAAGUAUGUGUCCAAAUGAAUCUAAGCCAAUCAAAUAUUAGGCAGGGAUGGCUGGCGAGAAAGCAGAUGCCGAAUGUUUAUUUCAGAUGGUAUCUUUAGACAUAAGAGUCAUUGUGGUAUGUUUAUACCACAACACAGGAAGUGUUACUACCUGGAAGGAUCCCAGAAUCAUGGGCGAAGCAUCUACAUGUGUUAAACCUUUACCAUGAGGAGAAGCAGUUUGUAGCUGAUUUUGUGAAGAGUUUACUGUCAUUUACAUGUGAGAAAAACUUAUUGCAGUUUCAAUAAGUUUUGAUAAUAAAAAAUAUUAAUCAUUCUUUUUUGUUCUAAAAUGAAGAUAUUGUAAUGCAGAUUGUGGAGUAAAAGAAAAUGAAGAA